rnacentral:lncRNA from 1 species
CUUCAUCAUAAUUCAUAGAAAUGUUCACCAUAGACAUAUGUCUCUGUCUUCUCAAUAUCUCCAAACUCUUACUAUUCCCGAACAAUCUUCACCGAUAGACAGGUUAUAUCUUUAUAACAUGUCGACUUACAAUAAUUCAAACUUUUGAUAGUCCUAUUUGUCUUAAGCAGAUAAAAGUCUCUUCCUGAGUAAUAUGGCAUGUUCUAGAUCAGCACAAACAGUCUUUCAAGUGAUCUACAGGUGUACAUUUCUGUUACUAAUUUAUUAAGACCGUAACACCAAAAUAUUGCGCAAGAAAGUUCAAAUUCCAUAAAGAUUCAUCCAAGGAGCCUAAAUUCCUUGAUCUUGAGACGGGACUUCGACGAUAAAAUAAGCUUGGUUGGUUCACAAAACUAAGAACCUAUGCUGUUACCAAACAAAAAUACUCAAGUGUUUCUUGAUAGAUUCUAUUAAACUUAGUUUCAGAGGAUUUUGCUUCUGCUUCUUUCGUUUUUUGUCGGUUAACAUUUAAUCGACCAUUAAGUACUAUGCGCAAACAUAAACAUUUGGUUUUAUCAUUAUUUCAGAUUGGUGUGUAGUUUAUAGUUGUUCUUUGCUUCAUUUACGUUUAUACAUUAAAUAAGCCAAAUUGUUAGGUUUUUCUUUUUCAUGUUCACUUGCUUGAAGUUUGGCAAUGGUCUGAGUUAUAAAAAAAAUCCUAAACAAAUUUUGGAGAUGGGAAGUUAAUGGAUAUGACAUUCCGUUUUUU